CCUGACGACAUUAGCGAGUGUGAACCACCUGAUCCCAUCUCGAACUCAGAAGUGAAAGUGCUUAGCGCCGAUGGUAGUGUGGGGUUUCCCC
rnacentral:rRNA from 1 species